UAGAAUCAUUUUUACCAUAACCCUAACCCUAUUUCAUCUAACCAAAUCGACGCCCCCACCCCUUCCCAUCUCUGCCCGCCUCAAACUCGUCGGAAUUCGCCCCAAACCUGGCGAGUUCACCCAUUGGUCCCCCCUUCUCGUCUUCUCCUUCUUCCAUGUCAUUCAAAUCGAACCAAAUCUCAUCAUUUCAAUCUGAUUCGCGCGGAUUGUUUUCUUCUAUUUCUUUUGUUUAAACACAAAAUCCGAACCCUUGAGUAAAUUUGGGAAGAAUGGGAAUCAUUGGAUGAAAUUCUUGUCCAAAAAUAUCUAUUUUUCUGAUUUUUAUUUAAGAAAAGGAUUUUUGGAUUUGAUUUUUGGGAUCACAUGGUUUUGGGCGUUACUUGGAGAAGAGGAGAAUAAGGUUUAAUAUAUAUUUGGAGCAUUUGGAUAGAUUUUGGGAGAGGAUUUUUGGAUAGAAAAACGGAAAAAGUUUGGGAAGGAGACUAGGGUUUAGGAGCUCUUCUUCUUGUUCUCAUAUUUCCAGAAAAAAAAUCAUAAAAAGGGUUCUGUUUUCAUCUUUUGUGGCCAUUUUUAGAAACAUUUUUGAAGAGAAGUCAGGGAAAAACUAGGGUUUAAUUUUGAACUUGAGAGACCUUCUUUUGGUUUUUUUGUUGUUUCUUUUAGAUAGAGGUGGGGGGGACGGUUUUUUUUUUCUUGAAAACUUUUUGGAGAGAAGUUAGGAAAAACUAGGGUUUAAUUUUGAAAAAACUACGGUUUUUUUUGAAAACUAUUGUUGCUCAAUGCUCGAGUUCUUGCCAUGACUGCUAUUCCAUCUUUGUUCGUGUAAUGGCUGCAAUUCAUUGUUAAUUGAAAGCAAUUUCAGGUUUACCUUUCUCCCUUUAUCACUUAUUUUCUGUUAAUUUUCAGCAUGAUGAGGGUCGGGGUUUGAUCGACUUAUUGAUUGUUUGAUUCGUCAUUAUUUUUAGAGGUUAACAAAUGAAACUCAGAUUGUUUUGCGACUGUUAAUGAGAGUACGUGAUCUUUAUAUCGUUGCUUCACAUUUUCUUGAAUAUUUCUGCUUUGUUUGGCUGAGUUUACAUGUUGAAAUGAGUUUCUGAAACUAUUCUUUGAUGAUUCUCUGUGUGUUAUUGGCUUGGUUAGUUUCGCUUAGUUUCUAAAAAUUAUAUGAUCCUUGAAUCUUAAUCGAGUCAAUCCCCGUAGUUUGUGCUAGCUUAGUUCAUCAUAUUAUCAUGACUUCUCUGAUGUCCCAAUUUGGUUUGAACCUGUAUAACCUCCUGCCCUAUUUUUCCUCCAUUAUUGACUGAUGAUUUCACAUGAUUACCUUGUUUUCUUGACUUAAACCUAUCGACGUCCUUAGUCGACCUUUUGAUAAGUUUGGUUCUGUUUUCUGUUUUCUCGAGUUAGCAUCCAAGUUGUGAAUGUAGAGAACAAGCAGCGUUUAAAUUCUUGUGUUAAAAGGCUCGUAGAAGAUUGUCAUUGGCAUUUCAGUUUCAAGUAAGAUGUUAGUUGCUUAGAUAGGAGUUCUAUAUGUUUAAAUGACUAAUUUUCAAAUCCAAAAAUCAGUUAAUGAUUCUUGUUUGAGUUCGAAGAUAAAAUGAAAGUAUGAUGAAGUGUAACCUUUGGUUCGCAACCUAACUCGAGUUGAUUUUGCCUCCAACAUGGUAGUCUUCACUGUUUCUAGUUUGAUAGUUAUUUUAAAAGGUUAGUUUGUCAUUCAAAUUCCUAUGUUAGUCAAGUUUGAUCGCAUUCUCAAUAGUCUCGUUGUUGACCUUGUUAUUAGCUGUAACUGAUGUAAUUGAAACUUAUAGCUUAAGCGUGUCCAGGCAUUAGUGAAUUCGAGUGUUCUGUUGGAUGUCCCCAUUCCACUGUCAUAAAG
rnacentral:lncRNA from 1 species